GGGUUGUGAGGUUAAGCGACUAAGCGUACACGGUGGAUGCCCUGGCAGUCAGAGGCGAUGAAGGGCGUACUAAUCUGCGAUAAGCGCCGGUAAGGUGAUAUGAACCGUUAUAACCGGCGAUACCCGAAUGGGGAAACCCAGUGUGAUUCGUCACACUAUCAUUAACUGAAUCCAUAGGUUAAUGAGGCGAACCGGGGGAACUGAAACAUCUAAGUACCCCGAGGAAAAGAAAUCAACCGAGAUUCCCCCAGUAGCGGCGAGCGAACGGGGAGGAGCCCAGAGCCUGAAUCAGCAUGUGUGUUAGUGGAAGCGUCUGGAAAGGCGCGCGAUACAGGGUGACAGCCCCGUACACAAAAGCGCAUGUGCUGUGAGCUCGAUGAGUAGGGCGGGACACGUGGUAUCCUGUCUGAAUAUGGGGGGACCAUCCUCCAAGGCUAAAUACUCCUGACUGACCGAUAGUGAACCAGUACCGUGAGGGAAAGGCGAAAAGAACCCCGGCGAGGGGAGUGAAAAAGAACCUGAAACCGUGUACGUACAAGCAGUGGGAGCACAGGUUUACCUGUGUGACUGCGUACCUU
rnacentral:rRNA from 2 species